rnacentral:rRNA from 1 species
GAUGAACGCUGGCGGCGUGCCUAAUACAUGCAAGUCGAGCGAACGGACGAGAAGCUUGCUUCUCUGAUGUUAGCGGCGGACGGGUGAGUAACACGUGGAUAACCUACCUAUAAGACUGGGAUCACUUCGGGAAACCGGAGCUAAUACCGGAUGAUAUUUUGAACCGCAUGGUUCAAAAGUGAAAGACGGUCUUGCUGUCACUUAUAGAUGGAUCCGCGCUGCAUUAGCUAGUUGGUAAGGUAACGGCUUACCAAGGCAACGAUGCAUAGCCGACCUGAGAGGGUGAUCGGCCACACUGGAAGGGAGACACGGUCAAGACUACUACGGGAGGCAGCAGUAGGGAAUCUGACGCAAUGGGCGAAAGCCUGACGGAGCAACGCCGCGUGAGUGAUGAAGGUCUUCGGAUCGUAAAACUCUGUUAUUAGGGAAGAACAUAUGUGUAAGUAACUGUGCACAUCUUGACGGUACCUAAUCAGAAAGCCACGGCUAACUACGUG